CAGCAGCCGCGGUAAUACGAAGGGGGCUAGCGUUGCUCGGAAUGACUGGGCGUAAAGGGCGCGUAGGCGGAUUGUUUAGUUAGGCGUGAAAUUCCUGGGCUUAACCUGGGGACUGCGCUUAAUACAGGCAGUCUAGAGUGAGGAAGAGGGUUGUGGAAUUCCCAGUGUAGAGGUGAAAUUCGUAGAUAUUGGGAAGAACACCGGUGGCGAAGGCGGCGACCUGGUCCUUGACUGACGCUGAGGCGCGAAAGCGUGGGGAGCAAACAGGAUUAGAUACCCCCGUAGUCCCUGUCUCUUAUAC
rnacentral:rRNA from 1 species